rnacentral:tRNA from 1 species
GAAAGAGUAUCUAAGUGGUCAAAAGAGUGAUAUUUGAGCUAUCAAGAAAUUCUUCUUCGUGGGUUCGAAUCCUACCUCUUUCG